ensembl:lncRNA
CCUGGGUUUUCUUUAAAGGUCCAAUGCAGCCGUUUUUAUCUCAAAAUCAAAUCAUUAUCUGGGUAAUAAUGAAUAAGUACCUAACUGUGAUUGUUUUAAAUUAAAAUGGUAAAAAAAAACAAAUCUUCUUAGCAAAGUUCUUCUUAGCAAAGUUUCACAAUCUGAUUUGUAUUCUGACCAAUGACGGCUGCAUUGCAUCUUUUAUUUGCAUAUAUAUCCUCCUACUUUGUAGGGCUCUAGAGUCUAGACCUGGUAUUCCCAAACUGGGGUUUGCGUAUAUGCCACCGGGGGCACGCCAAAUAAAAAUGUGAGGCACAUUUAAAAUAAAUUCUUCACAUUUUCAAACAGUCCAUUUAUAUUUUCCAACGGGGCUAUACAUUUGGGUGAGGGUUUUUUCUCACCUGAGUAGCCUCGCUUCACUCCCAAAAAUCUAAUCUCGUGUUCAGUGAAACAACAACACAAUGUCAAAUACAGGUAGCCUAGUCAAAUAAUUAACAUCCAAUCACAUUAACCGUUACUCAUCCAAUCACAUUAACCGUUACUCAUCCAAUCACAUUAACCGUUACUCAUCCAAUCACAUUAACCGUUACUCAUCCAAUCACAUUAACCGUGACUCAUCCAAUCACAUUAACCGUUACUCAUCCAAUCACAUUAACCGUUACUCAUCCAAUCACAUUAACCGUUACUCAUCCAAUCACAUUAACCGUUACUCAUCCAAUCACAUUAACCGUUACUCAUCCAAUCACAUUAACCGUUACUCAUCCAAUCACAUUAACCGUUACUCUCUCGCGGGAAUUCCACUAAGGUAUGUCAUGUCGCCAAACGUAGCUGCUGCUCAUGUUGAUAUCUGUACUGAUGGCACAAAAGCCAUGACAGGGAGACAUAGUGGAGUGGUAAUGUGCAUGAAAGCAGUUGCUCCCAACACCACUUGGGUACACUGCAGCAUCCACCGAGAGGCUCUUGGGUACACUGCAGCAUCCACCGAGAGGCUCUUGGGUACACUGCAGCAUCCACCGAGAGGCUCUUGGGUACACUGCAGCAUCCACCGAGAGGCUCUUGGGUACACUGCAGCUUCCACAGAGAGGCUCUUGGGUAGACUGCAGCAUCCACCGAGAGGCUCUUGGGUACACUGCAGCAUCCACCGAGAGGCUCUUGGGUACACUUUUUAAAAUUGAGAGACAAGCUUAAAGUUUUCUUUACUGAUCAUAAUUUUCACUUGACUGCUUGCAUGAUGACAAGUUUCUCAUACGACUGGCCUAUCUGGGUGAUGUUUUUUCUCGCCUGAAUGAUCUGAAUCUAGGAUUUUAUGGACUCUCUGCAACUAUUUUCAAUGUGCGGGACAAAAUUGAGGCUAUGAUUAAGAAGUUGGAGCUCUUCUCUGUCUGCAUUAACAAGGACAUCACACAGGACUUUCCAUCAUUGUGUGAUGUUUGUGUGCAAAUGAACUCAAGCUUACGGACAAUGUCAAAUGUAGCAAAACACCUGAGUGAGUUGGGUGCGCAAUUACACAGGUACUUUCCCGAAACGGACGACACAAACAAUUGGAUUUGUUGUCCCUUUCAUGCCCUGCCUCCAGUCCACUUACCGAUAUCUGAACAAGAGAGCCUUAUCAACAAACGGUUCUGUGAAAAUUGAAUUUAAUCAGAAGCUUCUGACAGUAUCCUGCCUUGGCAAAUCGUGCUGUUAAGACACCGAUGCCCUUUGCAAACACGUACCUAUGUGAGAGUGGAUUCUCAGCCAUCACCAGCAUGAAACUAAAUACAGGCACAGAUUGUGUGUGGAAAAUGAUUUAAGACUGAGACUCUCUCCAAAACAUCCCAACAUUACAGAGUUAUGUGCAUCCUUUCAAGCACAUCCUUCUCAUUAACCUGUGGUGAGUUAUUCACACUUUUCUAUGAACAAAUAAGGGUUUAUGUGCAAGCUUGUUAAAUAAAGAGCAAAAUUAUUGAUUUAUUAUAUUAUUAUUUGUGCCCUGGUCCUAUAAGAG